GCCGUCAAAAAUCAUCGAAAAAUUGUUCAUUUCUAAAGUUUUUUGCAUAUUUUUGUUUAUAUUUACGCUUUGGGUGGUGGAAUUUGGUUGGGAGGAUAUAGGUAUAUAGCCAUGGAUCAGAAGUCUUAUAAAAUGUACGUAUAUGAGAUGGAAAGGGCAAAAUAUCACAUAUAUAAAACCGUUUUACUUAUUAUUGCAGUAUUUUAUAGAACCAAUUAUUUGCAAUUUCUUUAUCAUCCUAAUUCUUAAUACUUCUUGCAUGAUAUCUAGUCUAGUUUGUGGUGAUGUAAAUGGAAAGUUAAAGACAUUAUACACAAGAGUUGCCAAUAUCCUCAAGAAAUCUGGUGAUUUUGAGGUAAAAUCUUGUUGAAGAUAUUUGGAACUUGAUAAUUUCCAAGUUGAUCAAGAAAUGUUUUCAUUACUAGAUGUUGCUCUGUGUUGGAAAAUUUUUUGGUACGACAGAAGAGGACAAAAAAGUCUGGCAGGAAUUCAAAGAUGGCAUUUCAAAUG